rnacentral:rRNA from 1 species
GACGAACGCUGGCGGCGUGCUUAACACAUGCAAGUCGAACGAAGUGGCGAACGGGUGAGUAACGCGUAAUCAACCUGCCCUUCAGAGGGGGACAACAGUUGGAAACGACUGCUAAUACCGCAUACUGAAGGAGGGGAUUGCGUCUGAUUAGCUAGUUGGAGGGGUAACGGCCCACCAAGGCGAUGAUCAGUAGGCGGUCUGAGAGGGUGGACCGCCAACUUGGGAAUGAGACACGGCCCAGACCUCCAAGGGAGGCAGGAGGGGGGAAAUGUCCGAAAUGGAGGAAAGGCUGACGGAGCAACGACGAGGGAGUGAUUACGGCCUUCGGGUUGUAAAGCUCUGUUAAUCGGGACGCGGUACCGGAAUAGAAAGCCACGGCUAACUACGUGCCAGCAGCCGCGGUAAUUC